rnacentral:rRNA from 1 species
CCUACGGGAGGCAGCAGUGAGGAAUAUUGGUCAAUGGGAGGAAUCCUGAACCAGCCAUGCCGCGUGCAGGACGACGGCUCUACGAGUUGUAAACUGCUUUUGUACCGGGGUAAAAUGCGGUACGAGUAGGGUUUUGAAAGUACGGUACGAAUAAGGAUCGGCUAACUCCGUGCCAGCAGCCGCGGUAAUACGGAGGAUCCGAGCGUUAUCCGGAUUCCUUGGGUUUAAAGGGUGCGUAGGUGGUUUUAUAAGUUAGCGGUGAAAGACCGAUGCUCAACCUCGGGGCGGCCGCUAAUACGGUCGGUCUAGAGCUCGGCUGCAGCAGGCGGAAUGUGUAGUGUCGCGGUGAAAUGCCUAGAUAUUACUCAGAACUCCGAUUGCGAAGGCAGCUUGCUAGGCCGGAUCUGACACUGAUGCACGAAAGCGUGGGUAUCGAACAGGAUUAGAUACCCCAGUAGUC